CCCCCGCGGCCCCACCGCCGCUCCGCCUCGGCGCUGCCCUGCCCCUGACCCGGCUCCUCCCGCCCCCGGGCCGUCCACGUCCUCCCGCGGGCGAGCGCCUCCGUGGGCUUCCUUCCCGGCUCUCCCCGGCGGCGGGCGCAUCCCCCGCUCUCCUCCGCCGCCCACGGAACCCCGCUGGCUCUCCGCCUCCUCCCUCCGCCGCCUUGGCAGCGCUUGUCGGGCUCGGCCCUUCCCUUCGCCGGCACCCUCUCACCUCACCCCCACCCGACCCUCCCCGCGCUCCGGGCAUUCGCGUCGCCCGUGCUGCGCCUCGUCCGCUCCGCGGAGGCACCAUGGGCGCCCGGAGCCUUCUCCACACGAGACCCCGGCGAUUUGGGCGGCGCUGCCGUGCGGGGGUUGUUUCGCAGCUCCGCGGGGUUCUCCCCCCGCCCCCGGUGCAGCAGCAGCAGCGCUGUGCUGUUGGUGCGCGGACCGGAAAGCUGUAAUGCACGUAGCCCAGCGGACGGGAUAAUGUGCGCUGUGCCUGCGCCGGGGCGGAAAGCCUCGCCCGGGAUGGGUGCUCGGGGUCUGAGGCUGCCGGAGUGCCGUGUGCCCAGGUGUGGGAGUGUGUGCCAGAGUCGCUCUGGUUUUUCAGUCAUGACGGGUUUAAAUUUCUUCUUUUCUGCCGGAAAAUUAACCUGGAGAUACAGUAUGGAGUCCUGUAGUAUUUUACGUCGACACUAGGCGUGUCUCCUGCUUUUCACCGCUGCCAAGAAAUCAACGCCCUGUUUUUUAGUAAACAUUUAUUUUAGCCUAAAUUAUCCAGUGGCCUGGCUGCAGGAAGACCUGGCAAUAUUUUGGUUUUACCGCUGGAGAAAUACAAGUAGUUUAAAUUUUUUGGUUGCUGUUUUUAACCCUUUCAGAGCGAGGCCAGCUGGUUUUCACAUUGCACAUUAGACCUCACAGGGCCUGGAAGUCACAAAUGGGUUUCCUUUUGUUUUUAAGCAGGCAUUGCAGUCUUUCCUUUAAAAAAUAAAGUUGUGGCAGAAACUAAUGUGCCAUGCUCAGGCUGGUUUUGUGUGUAUGCUUUAAUAGAUGUGCAUUUGGAGAAGUGCUUUGAAGUGUAUAAAGCUUUGGUUUCAGUUGGGAGCACAUCAGGACUGGGGCAGGAAAGAAAAGUUCAUCAUUUGAGAAAAAGGUAUUAAUGAAUUUGAGGCUUAAAGAAAUUAUUAUCACUUAUGCCAUGGUUGCAGUACUGGUAAUUACUUUGAAUGUAUAGAUCAUCAUGAACAGUGAUAAUUUUCCACACAAUAGUUGUGCUCAUCCUGCCAGCAGCUGGAUCUUCUGUGAAAAUUUUGUUCUCAAAGACCUGCCAGAUGUGAUAGACUAACAUAUAUAAAAGGAAAGAAAUAUUAUUGAACUGUGAUGCCCAUGUGCGUGUCAGUGACCUUCAACAAACUUAGCUUUCAUGUAUUACUACCUUUGAUUAUUUUUCAUCCAUUCUGUUGUAAUAAAGCUUUCCUGUGAUCUUUUGAUGGUGUAAUUAUGUUGAUCAUUACUUGAUUGCUUCCUGAAUAGUGUUUGUGUAUGAUGCAUUGCAGUGUGGAAAUGCAUAUACUGGGGAAAAAAGGUGUUAAGUUAUGAAUGUUAUCUCUGCCAGUAAAAGUACUUGUUUUCUCAAGUAAGCAGAGAACUACUGUAGCUGUAUCACUACACUGGUUCUGGUACUACCUGAUCUUAGGUGCCUUUUAGUCUGAAAAUCAGUAUAAAACUAUGCAUUAACAAAAAACCAAAAAAACACAGCCAGCAUUUAAUUUGCCUUUUUUUUUAAUCAUUAAUCAGGGGAUGUUUUCAUUUAAAGAGUUCUGUUUUAAUGGAGUACAUCUUGUUUCAACCCUUAUGGUAUUAGAGAAAUUCUUUUUUCACAGUCUAGAGCAACAUUUUUUUAUGUUCUUGCAGAAUGAGAAAGCUGACAGUAAUGGUGAAAAAGUGGUGAAUGUAUUGUUGUGUUUGUAGUAGGUAGCUUAAGAUAAAACCAAAACAUCUAGUGAGUCAAAGAAUGUUCUUCUGGAUGUUUAGGUAUAACCAGUUCUAAAAUAAUCUGUCAGAGCAUACGAUGACGAGUCCAUUACAUAAUGCUGGAAGUAAUGUUGAUAAGCUAUUUUUGUCAGAGUUGACUUAGCAAGUUUUUCCUAUGAGUAGUGUUUUCUAGGAAAAGGUAAACAGCACAGAUAAAGAUAUGAAAUAAUCAUAGUUUUAGGUAAAUUCUGUCUUCUUGGGAUGGUCUGUGUUCUGGUUCAUAUCCAGUUCUUCAACUUCAUAGAUGUAGCACAGAAGCCGCAGAAUUCUACAGAAAUCACUCAAAACAUAUUAUAUCGUCCAUCCAUCUUAACUAGUCUCUUAUUCAGUUGUUUUGACUCACUUCACUUGAAUAUUAGUGCCUCUGGUGCAUUUUCUCCAGCUGGAAGUGAUCUAACACUGGUUCUAAAUUACUGGAGUAAAGAACCUCCUAAACAGUUUUUGUUUUUUGCAAUAAAACAAAAAAACAACACCCAAAGACCAUCUUAAACAAUUCUUUACUAUUUAGCGGGGAGGGUGUUACAUGCUUUGGUUAUUAGCUGAACAAAAAGCUAGUUAUUCCUAAACAGGAAGAUAGAGCCUGUUGGUGGAGAGGGAAGAAGACUUUUUAAAAGUAAUUAUAUUUUUUCACCAUUCCUGUGGUAGAAGUAGAAUUCUGUUUUUGUAUGGUUUAACUGUUAAUUUAACAACAGGGAGAAUGACAGUUGAGUAGUUGAAGGGAAAAUAGUCUGUGGUGGGCAUACCUCAGAAGCUUCAGUAUAUUCACCACCUAAGGCAUCUGGCUUAGCAGGUGAAAGGAAAAUUUUAAGGGAGUGGAUUAAUAACACCUACAUUGUGGGGUUUGUUCAUAUCUUAAAGUAGAUGGGAUUGUCUUCUGUCUAUCAGUGCCAGAAAAAGAGAAUUCAGUAAUUCUGGUAUUUCCGAGGAAACGAGAUGAGGCAGAAAUGCACAUUUUUGUGCCAAACCAUUUCUCUUUUUCUGCUUCUACUUCCUCACAGAAUGGGUCAGGUUGGAAGGUGCCACAAUGGGUCACCUGGUUCAGCCUCCCUGCUCAAGCAGGGUCGUCCUGGAGCGUGUUGCGCAGGUUUGUGCCCAGAUGGUUUUGAAAUAUCUCUGGGGAGGGAGACGCCACACCCUCUCUGGGUGAUCUGUUCCAGUGCAAGGUCACUACACAGUAAAAAAUUCUUCCUUGUGUUCAGGUGGAACUUCUGUGCAUCAGCUUCUGCCCAUUGCUCUUGUCCUGUUGCUCGGCACUACCAUGCAGAGCCUGGUCAACCUUCUGGAACCCUCCCUUCAGAUACUGGCACACAUUGGUUGGGUCCUGGCUCCAUCCUUUCCUUCUAAAGAGAUAGUCCAGCCCCUUAAUCUGGGUGCUGAAUUGGUGCUUACCUGGCAGUGUUACAGAAGAAAUAGCUUUUUUAAUUGUACGUGUACUUAAUAGUGUUCUACUGUAAUUCAUAAAUUAAUCUUGCAUAAGAUUUUUCAACAUUGCUAUGAUUUUUAUUCUUCUAGUUUGAAGAAUUGCUUUGCUUUCCCUCCCCAUUUUUGCUGCCUGUAUUUAGAUGUGUUUCACUACAGAAAACUGUAUCCUCUCCUAAAACAUUUUAAAUCUGAGUGGUAGUUGAGGAUAAAGUUCUGUAGGUUGGACUCAGUGAUCUCAUAGGUCUUUUCCAACCUAACUGAUUCCAUUAUUCUGAAGAUUUUGGUUCAGCUAUAUGAAAUGAUGAUGAAAAAUUGUUUUCAUGGAAAACCAUUUUUGUAAUGUGAGCUAAUAUGUGACUUGUUGAAAGCGGUUUGCUCUCGAUUUCCUUGCCCGUCUUCUUCCUUGCCAUGCCUGUUUUCCCUGCUCUGUGUAAUAUCAUUUUUCAAGUUGUAAUUGAGAGAAAAAUUAGUGAAAAAUAAGAACAGUUCUUUGUUCAUUAGCACCCAAUUAAUAUAGUGACACGUUUUCCAGUUUUCCAUUGUUGUGUUCUUCUGGACUGUUCGUUUUUCUGUUUUCCUGACCUUGUUUAUUCCUAUGUGUUCCUUACAGAAGGACCAUGGGGUAAAGGGGACUGGCUGUUUCCAUACUUCCUACAUGUUAUUUCUUUGCCAGAAUCAGUAGAAACAGAGAGGGUGCUACUGUGUGAUGUCCUUGUCAUGAUCUAAGUCUUCUGCUGCUGGAGGAGUGAGCACUGCGAGGAUGGGGGAGUAAAAAUUGAGGUGGUGGGGAAGGAAUGAUGACAGGAAUAUGUCAGCAUCAAAAGAGGAGUAAAAGGUGUUGUGCUCAAAGAUUACCCAGCUGGAACCUCUGAGCAGGAUGCCAUUAGAAAAUAAGCAUCUUGUUUGACUCACAGGCCCAUGUUAAUUAAAAUAUAGAAAAGUUGGAACUCCUGAAACAGUUAGAAUUUUAUUGGCUGACAUGAUUAUAUAAAUUACUUAAAUAUGUUCGUUCUUUCCCAAAGACUUGAAUUUAAGAAUUUAACUUGCUGUGCUCUUGUGAAGCUGGUAAAUAUUGCCCUUGUUCUGCAAAUGGAACAGGUCAAGGUCAUGGCAUGGUAAUAAACUUAUCCUAGGUCCUUGUUAUUGUUUAGAAGUUAGCAUUAGUAUGUGGUACUGGCAACGUGUGUUUAUAGCUUUGAAAAUAAAUUAAGUUUAAAUCAAAUUAAGUGUUACAAAUUUAGGGGUCUUGUGAUUUGGAGUUAAAAUGCAGCCACUAGAAAAUGUGCUGUGCGUUGUCCAUUUGGCGUAGGGCAUGUGAUGGUGUUCAGUAGUUACUGGCUGCCUUCUUCCAGCAUCUUUGUAACAGCAUUUUCGCUGCUUAAAGUGACUGCUUUUAGAGAUUAGAGCUGGAGAUAGGCCUUUAAUAUCUUGCAAAAGCUACUCUGUUUCUUAGUUGUCAGAGGCCUCAAGUAAUCUUGACACCAGCAGUGUCAGAAAGAUCAGCUACAGAGAUUGCCUUAAUGUGCUGAACAAAGUGGGAAAGUCUUGGACAUGCACCAACAUCUUUUAAUCUGUAAUAGAUAAAUCUUUUGAUAUACCAGUUCAGGUAUUCUGGGAAAGUCCAGGACUAGCAGCAGUAUAUUCUACUUGGUAUAGAAUUUGUGCAUGCAAUGCAGUGAUGUAGCUAGAUUUUUUUGGUCACUGGAUGAAAUAAUGUAUUUAGUAAUAUUGAGGGCUAAGCUUAAAUUAUGUCUUGUCUUUCCAUUCAGGUCUUACAUACAUAAUUUGAGUGGCAGAAGUCUAUGGAGAGUUGGGUUUUUUUUAAAUUUCAGGUGUGUCUAAGAAUAAAACCCCCGUCUUUCAAGUGAAGUCAUUUCUGGAGCAUCAUUUCUUCUUAAUUUUGACUUUUUGUGUAGCUUGAAAAUUUUAAUUUGAUGGCUAUACUUUUUAUCAGACUUUUUUCAUAUAGACUGUUUUAUAUGUUGCUACAAGCACUUUAACUGUUUGGGCAGAACUCUGUUGAUGAUACAAAACAGGCUGGAGACUAUAUCUGACUCACUUGUAACUCGACAGUCAUUUGGCCCUGCUGUUGAUACUCCCUUCCACAAUUAAGGAAGAAAUCUAGUGAUAUAAAUAAUCUUUAACUACAUUAAAGAAGUCUUGGAAACCCGUUUAAUGUGCUGGAUUAAAGGCAGCAUUUCUUAUGAUCUGCCAAUAAAAAUCUUGGUUUUCGAGCUGUAAACAGGUUGUGUCAGUGAAUAUUUGCAAAGUCUGUUUUGAUGAACAUUUUUAAGCAAACUUAAGGCACAGAACUGAAACCUGAGUCAGCUUAAAGUUACAAUAGUUCCUAACUUAGGUAAGGUAGGAAUUUUAAAAAUGUAGUAAGACAUUUACAGAAGCAACUCAGUCAGAAUUUGGGAGGGGCAGGAGAGUAAGGAAUGGGACAACAGAUAGGAGGAAAUGAAGUCCAGGGUUGAUAUGUUCUGGGAAGAAACCAAGCUACUGGAAAAGUGGAUUCAGCUGUGAUUCCCGCUAGAAUACAAUCCCAGUGUCAUCUUUAAAUGUUAUGGCACUUUUUCUUCCUCUUAUGUAUUUGUGACAAAUGUGGAGAUUUUUUACCCCUUAUUUUCAUCAGCUGGAAACUACAGGACUUUUUUUCUACCUCUUCUCUGUUGUUACCCUGUGAGUUUCUCCUCUGUGUGCAUUUAUCAGAUGCUUUGGGGUUUUUUAGUAAUAAGUGAUAGAGAACAAAACCAACUGUUGUUUCACUGCUGACUGUGUAGGUUCUGAAUAGCAUCACUGAAGUUGAAAAAAGUCUAUUGAAUUCCCUCUGAUGAAUGACACUAUGGCUGGCAGAGAGGACUUUAAAAGGAGUUCUUUGGUUUGGUUUGUUAUUGGGUUUCUUUUUCAAUAAACUCCAUGGCUAUGCUUCAGGCCUGAGCUUGUGAAGGAGAGCUCAUGUACUUUGCAGGCACGAUGGCUGAACAGCUUCUCAAUCUUGUGUAUAUAAGAUGUUCCCUUGGGAAGUUUAAUUUAGUAUUGAGCCACUGCUAACAGGCUUAGCACUGUGGUAUUUGAGCAGCCAUGGGUCGGUUUUGUUGAUAAUGCUAAAGUGACACUUCACAGAUUUUUUUUUAGAUUAAAACUUGAUUGCAUGUAGAUCUGCUAACAAGUCUAUAAAAAAAUCUAUGAUCAAUAGUAGAACUUCGAAGGAGCAGUAAUAAAAAUGUCAGAUGAAUAAAUAGACUUGAUUUUUAUAUUUUACUAAAGUAGACUGUCUUGGCACUCUAAUAACUUCUUCUCAGAGGUAUCAAGUAAAAUACCUGUUUGCCACUUAAGAAAUUUUUCCAGUAAUUCUUAUUAAAGCAGUGUUAGUUUUCCUGAGAUAUUUUAUUCAAAACACUAUUUAUUUUAUUAAUAAGACUAAGGCACUUGCAGUAAGUACCACUGGUGUUAGGGUUUUUAUUUGUUUGUUUGUUUUCAGACAAUGCAUUGAAAAAACAGAUAAACGUAAUUAGUAAAAUAUGAAAGGUUAGUAAGUUUGAAUCUUGUGUACUCUUGAAUGUUAUAGUGCAGUUCCAGUGUUGGUGCAGCUGAGUUUUGCCAAAGGUCAGUUCUGAAAAAUUCUCUUUUGAGAGGCCUUGAAAAAAUGGGGUGGUGAGUUAAAAGGUGGCCAGAUGCCCUUUUGUGGUGAGAAAACAAGUCUUGUGAGUAAAGGGGUCUAAAACGGAGCAGAAUGAGAAGAUGGUGGGUUUAGAUGUAGGCAUUUUUAUGUAAUGAGGUAGUAAUAGUGUACUGCUCUAUAGCAGGGGGCAGAACAACUAAAGAUUCCAGAAAAAAUGGUUUUAAAGAAAGGAUGGGUUUUACUAGUAGUUUUAUCUAUUUUCUUGGAGAUAUUGUGUAGCAUCUGUGCAGUGCUUUAAAUGUUGUGUCAAGUCAAACCUUGUUAUCCAGUGUUUAACAAAGAGCUGCUAAAACACUUUGUUUAAAAUUACAAGUGUUCUUUGAUUUGCAGUUUGUAUUACAGACUAGUAUGCAAAUGUAUCUGCAUUAUAUACUGCCUUUAAUGCUUGCAAAUGGCAAAUUUUCGAAAGUAUGGCACAUAUAGAGAUAAGAUGGUGAAUAGCAGGAAAAUGGUGGCCUGUGGUUCUGUGGAUUACAUGCGCAAUUGAGUCAGUCUUUGCAUGGCGCUGUGGACUGGAUUGUUGAUUGUGAGCAACUGGUAAUUAUUACUGGAAGUCCCUGGGGCUCUGCAGGGGUGCAGCUACUGGACUUCUUUUGGAACCUGUAGACCCUAUAAAUACCAGUAAUUUUUCUAGUGCUGCAUUGUGUGUACUCUUAUGCUUGCUUUUAUGUACAUUUACAACUUUAUGUACAUUUACUACAAAAGAAAAUUUAUGGCUCUUCAGGACAGCUGUUUAUGGUUGUGUUGUCAAUUACAGCAAUUAAUAAGCUUUGAGUUCUAUCAAGAUUAAGCAACCUUUAGCAAGUGCUAUGAAUCUGUAGUUUGGAUAUCUUAGACCUAUUCUGGUAAUGAGCUUUUGGACAAUUCUUCAAACAUUUGACAUGAAUGUUUAUAAGCUACUGAAAUUGGUUUGGACUUCUAAUUUAAUCCUUUGAGUACCCUAUUACUAGCUUGUAGCAAAAGUGAUACUCAAUAUUUGCAUUCCUGUAUGUGAGAAGUAAGCCAGUUCCUGUCCUGAAGAACGUAACCUAAAAUAUUCUUCUAAAUAGCAUUUAAAUAUUACUUAAUAUAACAAACUCCUGAAUGGACAUCACCUCAGUGUUAUGACUACAAAUAGUCAGUACUUUGUCUAUGACACAUGUCAUAAAAAGAAAACUUGUUUGAAGGUUUCAAAUACUCCAUACCAGGGAAGCCCUAAUUGAAAGCAUUUAUGUUGUUGGUUUGUUGUGUUGUUUGUUUGUUUGGGGUUUUUGUGUUUUAUUAUGUUUAAUUUUGCUUUCAUUUUAUUGGUGAAUCUGUGAUAAUUGGAAGACUUUGGAAAUUUAUAAUGCGUCUUCAGAACACCAAUUUCUAAUUUGUGGAAAAUUCUUGAGUGCUGGAAAUUAAGUAUUCAUUUUAGAAUGGAAGCUGGUAAUGCCAAAAAGACCUGUUUAAUGUUUUGUAAAUUUCUUGAUAAUUACAGUGGACUUGAUCCCUCUGUUUUGGAUCAUAGUGUUGGUAGGGCCUGUUUUCAAACCAUAUGAUUAAUUUUUAUUCUUUGUGAAUCCUUGAAUAGCAUAAACUAAACCAGAACUUGUUAAAAUGUCUCCAUUUAUUAGCUGACAGCUGCAAGUUCUGAUUAAGUUAUUUUCCUUUAAUGAAAAAGCAAAAGACAAAACUAGAUUAGUGCUAACAGGUUGAGAAUACAAACAAUCUUUAUAUUUCAGGUUCUGUUUCUAUGCAACAAUUCCCCUUCAGCACAACCUGCUUCUUCCUUUAUUUGCACAUCUUGCUCAGUCCUGCAUCUUUGCCUCCUUGAUUGUUUUUUGUUCGUGUCAGUUUGUGAAAUCAAAUCCCGUUUUUGAACUGUCUUUCUCUUUUGAGGUCAUUUGUGUCAUUUUCACAGUUCUUCACAAUGUUCUUCAGCCUCUUUUGUGAUGGAGCCUGAAUGACAUUUGGCCUGCUUUGUGAUCUUUUUUUUAAUCAUCCUGUUUCCUCUUCCUCUCUUCUUGUUGGGCGGCCAUUGGGCAGUAAGGCAUUUAUCUCCUUUCAAACUUAGAUUUCCCUUUAUGAUUUCCUAAGCGGUAUUGAACUGUUUAUAAGUUUCUUACAUGGGAAGAAAGGCUGGUGACAGCAUCUACUUGUGCAGCCUGUUUCUGUGCAGUGCUGGAUGCUGACUUUCCUGACUCUGUGUGACUUUACUGACUCUGUUCUAACCCCUUGUAUAGAGCCUUGUGAAUUACUAAUGCUUUCUGAAUUGGUACUUACACUUCCCUGCUCAAGGGUGUUUGUUAAAACUGGCACUAAACUGUUGUAUGCAGUAGAGCUUCAUCAUCUUGUUGUUUUGCUUCAGGCCUUUUCAGAUUAAUUUAUAAUACCUGUGCAACUGUUCCUAAGCCUUUCCCUUUGCAGUAACACAGGACUGAAUACACUGUUGAAAUCUAAAAACUUAGGAAAAUCAAUUGGUAGAGAAAGAUGUGCAGGUCAUGUUGUUCUUGACUGUUUCUAACCUCACUGUUUCUGUGAGUAGGGAAUUAUGUUGAACUGCAGUAGAGUCUUUUACAUUAAGUAUCCUAAUACUGUUAUAUGAUGAGGUAUAAUCUGUUAAUGUAUCUUUGCUAUUUUCUUUGCCCUUUAUAAAUACCACUUGCAGUGAAUCUACUGUCUAAACUUCCCUAAAAAAAGAAGGCCAUCUGAACUUACUUUCCAACUGAUAGUGACCUUCCAUACUUUCCUUGCUCAAGUUUGUUAACAGUUUGUGGCAAGGGACCUUUGCUAGCAACAAGAGGAAGAAAUACAUUAAUUAUAGGACAUUAAUGAAUAUAUAUAACUAGUUAGAGAAUUACAUAUUAACAAAUAUAGUAGUUUGUAUGUUCAUCACUUGAUGUCAGGACAACAUACUACAUUUCAUUUCUAGCUAAAUUCUUAUUCUUCAUAUUUGUCUCAGCCUAAUCAAGCACAAGAAUCUGUAGCCAUUUCUUGCAGAAAUUAGAGAGGAGAUUUUUUUCUUUUCUUGGGGUUCUGUGACUGCUGUAGCUCCUUUUCUGCUUUCUGGAAAAAAACCCUCUGCAAAGAGAAGUGUUCUUACUCCUUUCUAAUGCUCGCUGCAUUGCUGAAGUGUAAUAGUAGGAAACUGAUCUAAUGGUUAUUGGGUUUUUUCCUACCUGUAGAGUUCAGGCUUUUGCAGUUAAAUGUCUUCUUUGUACAAGCCCAUCCAGAGGUUCAGAAACUUCAGAAGACUGAGCCAUCCUUUAAUUUACUAAUUUCUUGUAUUUGGAGUAUCACAACUCAUAUUUUUAAGAGGUAACUUUUGAUUCUACAGAUAUUGAUAGCCUUUGGGUUUUUGAAGGUUACUCAAAAAGAAGUUUAAAUUUGCAAGCAAGUCCUAUACCUUAAGUGACUCUGAUUUCCACAAUCUACUAGACAUGGUUGAAAAACAAUGCAGAGAAAAGAAAGCCUGUAUUUCACACUCCUCAUCAUUCCAGCAGCAAGAGUGCUUGACUUGGAAGUAUUACAGAGUCUAAGUCUUUGACUGUUAAUUUUGGAGGGAUAUUGAAAUACCAGUUAACUUGGUAGAGUUUUUACAGGGAUUAGUCUGUAGAGCUGCUUGCUGAAACACCCUAGUUUGGUUUUUUUUCAAUCUAUAAUCGCUGGAAAUGCUGAGAAUUAAAUUGGCCUAAUUAAAAGCAGCCUCAUGAGAAUAUAGAUAGCAAAUUAUAUUUCAAUAUGGCUUUAGGUCAAGUUAAUAUCUUCUUGUAAAGUAAUUGUUCUGUACCUGUUUAUAUGUAGGUCAGCGAGUGAUGAGGUCAUUACUGCUUUGUGUUGAAGUGGAAGUUUGGAGCCUUGUCUGUUUUCUGGGGAAAAUUUGAUUUAUCUUCAAAUUGUUGUGGAGCAGGAGAGAAGCUGAAAGAGCUUAAUUACCUACUAAGUAUUUUACCUUCAAAAGAUUAGUGUUUUGACUCUUCUGGGUAGUUUUGUCUUUUCUUCAUUUGAGAGAGUAUAAUAUGCUAAAUAACAGCUUGAGUAUAAUCUUAAUUUCUGGUGAAAACUGUAGGACUCUGUAGUUCCUCCAGGUUCUUGGUGAUGCUUUCAUGUUUUGGCCUAAGGUUUUCAAUGAAGUUUUGUUCUGUUCUUCUGUUCUCUGUGUUAGUUUACUUUUCCAAAUUUGAAGUCUUUCUAUCACGACACAAUUUACUUUUUGUAGUUGCUUGGAUUUUCUGUGUUCAUAUUCACCAACAAAGAGGGAAAAAGUCCUUCCUACUAAUGAAGUUAUUAAAUUGGUGAUUGUAAGUGUCUGAUAUCCGGUUUAUAUCCAUCAUUGUCCCAAAAAACAAGAUCACUUGUGAUAUGCUUUGGUUUUUUAUUUCUCUUUAGUAGCUUAUUAAAUGUAAGUUAAUGUAAUUUCUUUGUUGAGAUGUUGGCUCUUAACUCUGAAAAUCCCAGGACACAUCAGUCACUUUAUGAAGUCUUCAGUCCCAUUUUGUGUUUUCUCCCAUACUCUUUAGAGAAGCUUUUGCACUGUAUGCUUCCAAAGCCGCCUUCUUUGAAAUGCUCUCUGAAGCUCUUCAGCUCUACUUUGUUAUGCAUAAAGAUUUGUGGUUUGUUUCAGGUUGGGGAGGGGGGCUGUUUGUAACUUGUCAUUGGUGUGUCUAUUCUUUUGCAGUCGUUUGCAUUUUCUGUCUUGUUUUGUACUCGGAUCACAAAUGUUCUGCAUGGUGUGGUCUUGGUUUCAUUUUUACUAGUGUGGGGUUAGUCCAUGUAACAGCACAUGGGGCCAUGGGCUGGAUUAAUUGAGAAACUUUACUGGGAUUGUCUUUAAAGCCCAAAGGGACCAGUUGCCAUGGUUUGCUCAUUAGCUGAGGGAAUUGAAUAAACUUCACUUUGUGUUGUAAACGUAGAAAGAAGUUUUGUAGGUGAAACCCGUAUAUUAACCUAAGUGGAACAAAUAAAUUACUAUCUUGUAAAUUUUUCUCUGACUCCUUCAGAAGCAGUGGGGGAGCAAACUGUUAAUCCCAAAGCCUUCCUAUUUCCCAGCACAGUUUUUCCUUAUAUAGUCCUUUUGUUGUAUUUUUGUCAAGGUUUAAUAAACCUUUUUAAAUAUUCAGAGUGAGCAGUUGUUUCUCACAGCAUUGUGUUAAUUGCAUCAGAACUUCAUUUAGUGGUGGCAGAAUUUUAUUCUUUCCCUACUAAAGAUUGUGUUGCUUCAGAAUCCUUCUGGGAAACUCCUUUCCUUGGCUUUUUGAGAGUUCAUUAUUUAUGCACUUAAAAUUGCAAGGUUCUGAGAAUUUUUCAGAAUGAUGCAAGCUCGAGAAAUGUGAGCUUUGAAGUGAUUGGGUAAGCAGCUUGGGUUGUUGCUGCUAAAGAAUGGCAGCUAGGAACUGCCAAAAAUGAAAUUGUGAAAUGUACCUUAGCUCAUAAAGGUAACACUUUUGUUCCUGUCACUGUUUUCUCUCAAGUUUUAUUUACAGAUUGCAAUGUUUUUACAGUGAGAGCUCUUACUGUUUUCUGUGGUUUCUCAUACAUGUGAGGUUUUGCUUUUCUCCUUCAAAUAACAAGAUUAAUUUGUUAUUUUCUAAAUGUGGCACAAUCUAUUCUCUGCCUUACCUAGUUUUAAAAACUCACUAUGUUUGUUUCUAGCACUUUUUAUUAUCUGACAUACUGCAAGCUCUAUUAUGGAGAUCAUAACAUGGAACAGUGAAUAGUCUCACAUGUUACAGAUGGGACAAUUGAGUUAAGUUUGUAGUAAUCUAGUUAUCCUUUAGGUUUUUAUUAUGUCUACAUCAGAGUUGGUGAGAUGAUUUGGGGGAAUACAUACAUACCUAGUAAAUGAUAUUAUCAGUCUGCGCUCUGACUUCAUGGCUUCUUUUGUCCUCCAAAUUCAGGAAAAGGACUUUGCAGUAAAAUUGCUUUUAUCCUUGGUCAUUCUUUCUUAUUCAGCAAUUUAGCAAACUGCUCUUCGUUGUUUCUGCUGGGUCUGUAUGUCUCAUUCUGUCUUGGGUGACUUUUUUUUCUGGGAGACACUGCAGGUGAGUAAUUAGUGUUUGCGUCUGCAUGUAGAGAUCUAUGAUUAAACCAACUACUUAAUCAUACCUUCAAGAUCAUGUAAGUCUAGAUUUUUGCUGGAAGCUGAGCAAGUGUAAUGGAGUUCAGAUAGGGAAUGCUAUGGGAUUGACAUAUAUGAAGAUAUAUCAUAUAGUCCUUGCUGUAAGUGUACAGACUUCAUAGAUUGCUUUUCAGUCCCGAACACUUGAAAUUCAAAAUACGAAAAUUUUAAAAAGUGGUUUUAUACUGUUUGACUAGAUGCACUUUUUAUUGUUAUGUUUCCCUUAAAAAAGCCAAAUGGUGUAUUAAAGGCUGAAUCCUCUUAUAAAUUACACUCUUGAUCCUUUUUUCUCUCUGGUAGAGGCUUUGGCAACAAGAGCCAUCACUAAUGUUGGUUUUGCUUUGCGCUUCAUUGGUUUAGGGCUUCCCUGUGAUAUCCUAGAAUAGUUACUUGACUGUGAUGGCCUUAAGCCAUUAAUAUCUCACACUGGAGGAGACCCGUGGACAGUGAAGGAUUUAAAUAAAGUGUAGCAGAAGUUACUGGCCAACUGCCAGCCAGGGACAAGUGGCUUCCCUUAAAAUGACUGAUGAAGCUUGAGCAGAGACAUGACUGGAUUAGAUGGUGACUAAGGAGUAAACUGUGGGCUUUUCCUGAGACUUGGACAUUCUUUCUUGCCUCCUAUGUCCAGAAAGGGAGUGUGGUAGAACCUGAUAUAUGUGCAAGAGGGAAGAGUCUUCUAAGGAAUCACCACUUACUUAAAAUAAGUUGGUGGUAUUUUGUUUUUGUUUGGGUUUUUUUUAUUUGUUUGUUUGUUUUUAAAAUAAGAUUUUUUUUUUAUUGUGGCAAAUGGAAUUAUAACACUCGACAUACUUGAAAGAAGCGAUGCCAGAAUGCUGUAACAGCUUUAACCUGACUUGAUCUCUACUGUAAUCCCAAAUCCACCAAUCCCCUUUGCCUUGGUUCAUUAUCUCUGAUGUCUGCAAUUUAAAUAUGUUGAAGAAUUAGGUAUUAAUCUUUUUUUGAGUUCCUUCAGUACUGAAGGUCACAGAGUAUUUUAUUCAGAGGCAGGAUUAAAAGUUUAGGCUGCUUUUUAACACAUUUAAAACUUAAAAUCUUCUUUCCAAGAUAGGUUAAAAGAAGCUGUGUUUGGUUUUGUUCAUGAUUUCUUUUUCCUGACAUGCUCUCUUUUCUCUAUAUAAAAUGCUUACAGCCUUCCUUGAUGUUUGCUGUUGAUUAGUAUUCAGGUGAUGUAUUGAGUUAAAAUAUUAACAAGAGCUGUAAGACCUGUCUUUUUUUACCUUUAUGGUUUCCCCUUAAAGAUCUUACAUAAAAGCUGAGCACUGAUACAAGUUCAGUUGUUUAUCAGAGUUUUGGUAGCCUUUACAAUAAAUGUAUCUGCAUGUAUCCAAAAAAAGUUACUGUAACAUUUCUAGGGAUGAUGAUUUGCAGAUGUAGGGAAGAACAUAGUUUAUGUAUUUAAAUGGAAGUUUCCAAACUUAAAGGUGGAAUGGAAUAGUAUGUUGACUGGCCUGCUUCACCAGUUUUAAACUGCUGGUUGGAAUUGUAGCAGAGAUGCUAGGGAGUUGUGGAUGUAUUAUGCUAGAUAGUUGUGGUCUCUUUGAAAUUGUGCCUGCCAGUGAAUGGAAAUUGCCUCUACCUAUUUAAAGGAAACCUUAAAUUGGUUGGACAGCAAUGUGUGAAUUAAAUGUAAUUGUAAGAUUUCUUUUUAAUCCCAAAUACACAGUGAGAUAAACUCCCCUCUGAAACUCCUUUAUCCCCAGCUAAACAUCCCCAGCUCCUUCAGCUGCUUCUUAUGGGAUGUAGGUUCCAAACCUUCUCUGGACUUGCUCCAGAACCUCAAUGUCCUUUUUGAAGUGAGAGACCCAGAACUGGAUAUAAGUUUUGAGGUGUCACCAGUGCCAAGUACAGGGGAAGAAUGAGCUUCCUGGUUCUGCUGGCCACACUAUUCUUGAUCUAGCCAGCAUGCCAUUGGCCUUCUUGGCCACCUGGAUACACACUGGCUCAUGUUCAGCUGCUGUCAGUCAACACCACAAUGUCAUUUUCUACUGGGACACAUUCCAGCUACUUUCCCCCCAGCCUGUGGUGCUGUCUGGGCUUCUGACCCCAGGGCAGGACCUGGCACUUCACCUUGUUGAACUCAUACCACCAGCCUGUCCAUAUUUGCAGAGCCUUCCUACCCUCCAGCAGAACACAACUCCCAUAGUGUCAUCUGCAAAAUGACUGAGAGUACCCUCGAUCCUCUUGUCCAGAUCAUUGACAAAGAUAUUAAAUAUGACCUGCCCCAAAACUGAGCCCUGGGGAGCUGGUGUCAGGCCUCCAGCUGAUUGCUACACCAUUCACCACCACUCUUGGCUUGGCCGUCCAGGAAAUUUUUUUACCCAGUGAAAUCCUGGCCCACCUGAGCCAUGUACAGACAGUUCCUCCAAGAACUGGGACACAAGUGUCAAAGGCUUUCCUGAAGUGCAGUAGAUGACAUCCACAACCUUGCCUUCAUCUGCUCAGUGGGACACGUUGCCAUAGAAGGAGAUGAGGUUGGUCAAGCAGGGCCUGCCUUGCAAGAACCCAGGCUGACUGGGACUGACAGAGACACUGAUUGCUCUUGUUGUCCUGCAUGCACUGUGUGAUUGCACCCAAGAUAAUCUAAAUACCAACAUCUCAGGUCAGUUCAUAAAUUUCACGGCUUGGUUUUAUAGCUAUAUCUUCAGGGGUCCAGGAGAAAAUAACUAUAAUAUAUUGCUGCAAUAUGCAUCUCAUUGCUCGUUGACUAAAGAAUUAAAGCAAAAGUGGUGGAUACUCUUCCAUAAGGCUACUGUUCAUUCUUUUGCAUAUAGACCAUUGAAAGACUGAUUUGGUUAAGAAAUACCAAAACAGAUUUCUUUCAUGACUUGUGCCAUUCUCUGAGUUCAAUAUAUGUUGCUAGUUCUAGCUAUUAGAGAUGUGUUCAUAAUAAUAGUUACUGAUUUUGAUGGCAAGUUUUACUUGGAGAAGUGCAACUCUUACAUACCAGUGGAAUCCCUAAGUCCUUUACUGUCUCACUGCUUGUCUGUGCUACUUACCUGCUACCAUUAUUGCUGAUUCUCUGUUUUCCUGUCUUUUCCUUCCUUAAUUAUUUACUUUACUUUAAUCCAUGACUUUUCUGUAUAACCUGUGAGAAUUUGUACCCUCUUUAAUUCUUUCUAUUGCACAUGUGGAUGACUGUAGGCUCACACCAAAGGGUAGCAAGAUGUCCAGAUUUGACAGUCCAGUGCCAGAAAAUAUAUUGGAUUUUUGGAUAGCCAAGGUAAUAGCUAUGAAAUGUCACAGGCUUUGGUUACAUCAAUGAAUGAAACAUAAGCAGAGCUGAGGUGGUGAAAAUUGUAGUGUAGUCCUCAUGGCUCAAUGAAUUAUCAUUUGAGCUGGAUUCAGCUUGGAAGUCUUGGAUCUUAAACCACUGUCAUACUAUCCUAGCUUCAGGAUAGACUGGACUUGUUGGUGACCUGAAAACAUAAUGCAAGAUUGGCAACUGUAGUCUAGCUCACUGCUAGGAGAUGUUUAAUUUUUGAUCUUACUGAAUGUGAGGGGAGUGUCACCUCACAUGAAUUUUUAUGUAUUUCUUUAAUUCCUUCUUUAGGACAUGAUCUUAGAAGACAAGCUGAGAAUUUGGGGUCAGCAGUGAAAGUGUCACUGCUGAUAAGUUUCUUGAACUUCCACAAGCCUUCUAAUUUCUUGGCUUCACUUAAUUUUUGCAUUGCAAAAUCUAACUUGGCAUUAGUAUGAAUGUAAGAAUCUCAGAGGUGGAUUUAUCUUCUUUGAGUAGAAGUCUUGUGAUGGAGAACUGCUAAUUGGAGGAGGAACUAUUUAGGAGAGUUGCACUCUCUCUGCCUGGAAUACUUUCAAGCAAGGCAGGUACUUAGUAGCUGGUUUGUAUAAAACAGUACAGAAGUCACCAAGUUCUUUUAAAUAGUACUUUCUAAAUUUUGGCAGUUAGUCUGCACUAUUACCAGUUCUUCAGUUAAGUCUUGCUUUCAGGUAACCAUAUUUGGAUAUUUAAAUUUUAGGCAGUUUUGUUCACUGCCUGCAAUAAAAAGCCUAAAAGAUUACUUACUUACUCCAAGUCAAAACACAAAUGCCAAAUUCCCUGAUGAUCUAGAACAUUUCCUUUACAAGUUUCCUUUUGCAGUGUAUAAAUUGGAUAUUCCUGUUAAAUAGAAGAUAAUCAGUGACGGAUUUUUCUUGAUUCAUAGACUCCUCUUGGACUGACAGCAAUGUUACUGUGUUGUUUGUUCCAGGGUUUUUGAGGUUCUUUUUCCUUCUUCUCACAGAAUUUAACAAAAAAGGCCAAAUAGAAGUAUAUUCAUUUCUGAACAGGGUCGAUUAAAGUAUUUUUCUUGCUGCUUUUUUGCACUGAAAUCUUGCUCUUGCUCUUCUUUUAAGCCAUAUUUUUUGUGGUGUCUGCAGAAACUUUGUGUACGUCUCUCAUCAGUGCUCUGGUAAACUCCUUUCAGUGUUUAAUUCUCUAAGUUCCAGAUAAAAUGUAUAAAUUACAAAUAGGUGAGAUCUUCCAUAUUUUUGCGACCAACAUUUAAUUCAGAAAUUCAAAUAUUAAAGUGACUUAAAGCUUCCUGGGCUUUGUGUGAAACUUAUUUUAAACUACUGUAGAUGUGUCUAUGUGGCAUGUUCUAUUCAUGCAGAAAUUUUUAGAGCCUUGAAAACACAUGCCAUCAUUUUUAGUUUGACUACUUGCCUGCUGUUUUUUGAUGAAGAAUACGAACCUCUGCCAGCCAAAGCCCUAGUAAUUUGUUAAACAAUGAUCAUUAAAAAAAACCACCCAACCAAAUCAAACUUCUUUUCACCAAGCAGUUCUUCACUGUUAAAGCUUUGUGCAAGUGACAAUACAUGGAAAAUGAGCUUGAAGGAGGAGGAAGAAUUCUCUGCAACAGGUAAUUGUCAUCAAUAUUAAUUUUGGUGUUAUGGAGAAGAAUGAGAAAAGACAGUGAAGCAUUUUCUGUGUUUGUGGAACAGGGCGAAGGGUCUUAUGUGUAGGCUCUUCCUAAAUGUGAACUGCCAGCUGCUUCCAUCUUUAAUACUCCCAUUCUUUUAAGUUAUGGUAGGGUAUGGUGGAAAACAGCUUUUUGUGUAAUUUAAAAUGGAAGUUGGGAAUCUUGAUAAUGCAUGAGGCAUUAUCUGGUCCCCAGCUGACGUGGCUUGGACUCUUUCACUUGGCCGCUGAAGUUCCUUGCUUUUGCUAACAGUGGUAAUUAGGAGUGUAGAAGGAGCAGGAGCAGAUGCAAGGAGCACAACAUACAGUGCGUUGCCAGCACCCCAGGAGGUGCCUUUGCAUCAACAACACAAAUGCAGGAACAUCUAGUGCAGAGCUGGAACAGCCAGUGCUGUAACAAGGUGGUUUGCAUAUUUAAGGCAAUUUACAAGGAUGAACAUCUUACAUUGAUUUUGUAUGCUGCUGCAGAAGGUAUCAAAUCUUGGACAACUACUCCUGUACAUGUACUAAACAGAUCAGGAGACCACUCUUGCCCCUUGUUGAAUUAACUGCCUGGCUGUAGAAAGAACCUAAUGUUUUAAACUGUCCAGGGAUUAAUUUUCAUUUGUAGUGACUCAUACACACCCCACCCUCUUUGGAGAACUAAAUUUGAGAUUAGUCGUAGGAUGAAAUUGUGGCCUGCUGACAUUUAAAUACAUUUUCUGCUUUUAUAAAAGCAGAAAACUUAAUUGAGGGCUGAUGCUGUAAUUUAGCUCUCUGAACUAUUUACAAAAAGAUGCACACCAUGCAGAAAAGUUAAGCAUAAUUAGACCUAGAAACAGUGCUCUACUAAUAUAUGCUGAAGAACUGCUUUGCAGUAUGAUGUCUGUGUACAAGCUAUUUUGUAUAAACAAAUGCAGAUAAGAAUUAAAAAUCUGUUACUAAUUUUGCUAAUUGCUAAUUUCCUUUUUUAUUUUCUAUCUACAGAUCUUCAUGUCUUUCACUAAAAGGAAGCUUGUCAAGAUAAUUGCCUCAACUAUUGUACCUUGGAGCAGCAUGUACAAAACUGAUCUUAAGAUGAAAGUGAUUAGUAUUUGAAAUAACUGCCAGGGGAAAAAAAUCAGGAAAUACCUUUUUUUUUAAAACAAAAUUUACAGAAGAUAUAAUGACUAAAGUCCACUAAGAGGUUAUUCUUACCUAGUAAAAAGGCACAGCUGCUGAAAGGAAAAAGAAUACUUAGUAGAAAAUUGCAAGACCCAUUUUUGUUCUUGAAGGAACAUAUUACUUGUCAUAUCAACUCCUUUAGUGAUGUGUUUUGACUUUUCUCUAGGAAACUGGCAUUUCUGCAGUAUUCAGAAUUGGGUCAACCUUCUGUUAGUAGAUUUUGGACUUCUGUCUGUAAUUAUUUCUGUCAACAAGUUAUGAUUUUGUGCCUGUUCAACUAGGAAUUAACUCAUAGCCUUGUAACACCAUUUAAGAAAAUUUCAAGACUCUUCUAAAAUAAUAAGGGUAUUCAAAGUAUCUGUAGUAUUUCAGCUUCUUUUUCUACUGGUGCAGCUUGAGAGAGAGCAGAGUUCCAGCAGCGUGGUAGUGAUACAAAGAUGCAGCUGGGGAAGGCAUGUUUUACACUGGACAUAGGUGCCAAGUAAAUCUCUUGUGGAGUGUUGACUCUACAAAAAAUGCAUUUCUUCAACAAACCAUGUGCCACUGGUAUCUAAAUGUGCUGAUAUAGUGUAUAUGAGCAGAUACUCUGCCUUUUUGUGAGGUGUGCUAAGUAUAUAUCUGGCAAGAAAUACUGAUACUACAAUAUGGUUUUUAAAUUUACAGUCUUAUGUUGUGUCAGAGCCUUGUUAUUCUACAGAUGCACUUGUAUAAAUGAACUUUUCUGUCAGCGAUGAAAUUACAUCUUUGGAGUUUUACACUGGCUUUGGUCUUUACAGAUUAGUAUAAUUUAAAACUAUAAAGUGUAAGUGCUGUGUGAUUUUAAUGAAUAAGGUGUAUAAUUAUAGUGAUCUUUUUCAGUAAUUUUCUGUUAGUGCACUUAAUCACAAAGAAUAUUUUUAAGUAUUCUUUAGAAUGCUUCCUCAUCUGCUGUUAAAAUCAGUUAAAAUGCAUUAAAACUGUACAGAUGAAAAUGUGUAUCCAGUUUCUUUCCCUUUUCUUGAUGAUGUCUCAUAGCUGUGCUUCACUCCCUGCUUUUUUUCUGAGCACAUGAAUGUGGAUAUAGCUCUAGACCCUCCAUUUCACUUGCUGCCUGCCUAUUAAACAAUCCUUGCUUCUUAAGCAAGAAGAGUAUUCAGCCUACUUAGUGCUUCUGUUUCAGGGCUUAUCUCCUGUCUAUAAAGCAUAUACACAUUCUGAUUGUUUUUGUGGACAAGUAAGCAACCUUCUUGUGCUGCUGCUUAUGGAAUAUGAUAAAAAAUGCCUGCUCCUGAGACCAAAUCAUUCCUGUUAAUGUUUGAAGAUCAAAGCUUUCAUAUAGAGCACCAUCUUUGUGUUUGUCCGGGUCACAGCAGUGCAAACAGGAAUGUUGGCAUGAGCAAUUCAGUUGCUUAUUUGUAUUGAAAAACCCCCUCCCUACCAACAUCCUUUGAAAUCUUACAAGAAUUUUGGAUUCUUCUGUGAAGAUGAAUAUUCAACACAUCAGUAGCAGGUAACUACUUUUUAAAAUACUUUACUUAAAUACUAUAUGGAAAAUGUUGAAUAAUCUUGUAAUUUUUACAUUGUCAUUUACUACAUUUUUCUGCCUUUUUAGAUGUCCAAGAUCCCGUCCUGGAUAGCCUUCCAGUCUGGUGUUUUUCUUGCCUCUUCAUGACCUCGUGUCUUGAGCAGCCUAGCUGGAUCCCCUGGUUCCUGUUUCUUCUUGUUUCAAAAUUCUGCUUUCUCCCAUUUUAGAUUCCCUACCCUUUUAUAUUCAUAUGCAUACACUAGCCUUUUGCUACCUGUUUUGGUCUUUGCUGUUUAUCCUGAGACUUUGGUUGGGUUCCAUGCAGUAUUUUCCAUGUGGCACUGCUUUCCUGGAUUCCCUGCCACAGUGCAGUUAGUUUGUCUGAAGAACAUCCCUGAUGUACUUCCGAGGUUUCAGUGGCCUGAUGGUCCUCAUCUACCUUUCUGUUCUGCUUCUUUGUCUUGCUCUAAGUACACAUUGGAGAAGACAUUAAGGCUGUACUUUUUGCUGCCCUACUUAGAAAGCAAAU